rnacentral:rRNA from 1 species
AUAUACUUGGUAACGCAGCUAACGCGUGAAGUAGACCGCCUGGGGAGUACGGUCGCAAGAUUAAAACUCAAAGGAAUUGACGGGGACCCGCACAAGCGGUGGAUGAUGUGGAUUAAUUCGAUGCAACGCGAAAAACCUUACCUACCCUUGACAUGUACGGAAGACCGAAGAGAUUUGGUUGUGCUCGAAAGAGAACCGUAACACAGGUGCUGCAUGGCUGUCGUCAGCUCGUGUCGUGAGAUGUUGGGUUAAGUCCCGCAACGAGCGCAACCCUUGUCAUUAGUUGCUACGAAAGGGCACUCUAAUGAGACUGCCGGUGACAAACCGGAGGAAGGUGGGGAUGACGUCAAGUCCUCAUGGCCCUUAUGGGUAGGGCUUCACACGUCAUACAAUGGUACAUACAGAGCGCCGCCAACCCGCGAGGGGGAGCUAAUCGCAGAAAGUGUAUCGUAGUCCGGAUUGUAGUCUGCAACUCGACUACAUGAAGUUGGAAUCGCUAGUAAUCGCGGAUCAGCAUGUCGCGGUGAAUACGUUCCCGGGUCUUGUACACACCGCCCGUCACACCAUGGGAGCGGGUUUUACCAGAAGUAGGUAGCUUAACCGCAAGGAGGGCGCUUACCACGGUAGGAUUCGUGACUGGGGUGAAGUCGUAACAAGGUAGCCGUAUCGGAAGGUGC